rnacentral:rRNA from 1 species
GUGCCAGCCGCCGCGGUAAUACGUAGGGGGCGAGCGUUGUCCGGAGUUACUGGGCGUAAAGGGCGUGCAGGCGGUGUGGUAAGUUUAGAGUGACAGUAUCCGGCUUAACUGGAUAAGGCCUCUGAAAACUGCCAGACUUGAGGGCCAGAGAGGGACAUAGAAUUCCGGGUGGAGUGGUGAAAUGCGUAGAUAUCCGGAGGAAUACCAAAGGCGAAGGCAGUGUCCUGGCUGGUGACUGACGCUGAGGUGCGAAAGCUAGGGGAGCAAACAGGAUUAGAUACCCUGGUAGUCC